AUAACACAAGAUAAUAAAAGGUUCACCAACAAAGGCAUAAAUAUUGUUCUCAUAGCACAACAUAAUAAAAGGUUCACCAACAAAGGCAUAAAUAUUGUUCUCAUAGCACAACAUAAUAAUAGGUUCACCAACAUAGGCAUAAAUAUUGUUCCCAUCGCUCCAAGAUAAUAAAAGGUUCACCAACAAAGGCAUAAAUAUUGUUCUCAUAGCACAACAUAAUAAUAGGUUCACCAACAUAGGCAUAAAUAUUGUUCCCAUCGCCCAAGAUAAGAUGUAACGAACUAGUUGCCAUACUUGAGGUCAAACCUCCUACGCAACCAACCCAUUCUAGAGUCGGAUGUCAUGUGCAAGAACAUUUCCCUUCGCUCUUUCUUCAGAAAGAGCUCAGUAGCAAUGAAGUGCUCAUCAGUGCCAUCUAUUGCGCCACAAGCACGAACUAAAUCCAUGGUAGAUGCAACAGAGGUGGUCUCAUCUUUCUGUAGGAAAGACUAAAAUGAUGUAUGCGAAGCAUGUGCAAUGGAACUAAUCUUUUUUAUCUCCUCUUGCAUCACUUGUGCAGUCUUUGGUUUCUUGUUCUUCUCCGGAAUCUUGACCCCAAGCCUCACUUUAGAUGCACUAGCUAUUGUCGGAGAUGCUUGCUCUUCGGUAUCAUCCUCCAAAUCAAGAUCGGUGAUUUCAUCAACAUUCAANNNN
rnacentral:lncRNA from 1 species